rnacentral:rRNA from 1 species
GACGAACGCUGGCGGCGUGCCUAAUACAUGCAAGUAGGACGCAGUUGCGAACGGGUGAGUCACGCGUAGGUAACUACCUAUUAGAGGGGGAUAACUAUUGGAAACGAUAGCUCAUACCGCAUACUAGUAGCUGGACCUGCGUUGUAUUAGCUAGUCUGUAGGGUAAUGGCCUACCUAGGCAACGAUACAUAGCCGACCUGGGAGGGUGAACGGGCAAACGUGGACUGAGACACGGCCCAGACUCCUACGGGAGGCAGCAGGAGGGAAUUGUCGGCAAUGGGGCGAAACCUGACCGAGCAACGCCGCGGGAGUGAAGAAGGUUUUCGGAGCGGAAAGCUCUGUUGUUAAGGAAGCGGUACUUAACGAGAAAGGGACGGCUAACUACGUGCCAGCAGCCGCGGUAAUAC